rnacentral:rRNA from 1 species
UGUCACACGGGAACUGCCGGUCAUAAACCGGAGGAAGGUGGGAUGACGUCAAGUCAGCAUGGCCUUUAUAUCCUGGGCUACACACACGCUACAAUGGGAAGGGACAAUAGGUUGCGAAGCCGCGAGGCGGAGCCAAUCCAGCAAAACUUCCCUCAGUUCAGAUUGCAGGCUGCAACCCGCCCUGCAUGAAGUUGGAGUUGCUAGUAAACGCAGGUCAGCCAUACUGCGUUGAAUACGUUCCCGGGGCUU